rnacentral:rRNA from 1 species
UACGUAGGGGGCUAGCGUUGUCCGGAAUCAUUGGGCGUAAAGAGCGUGUAGGCGGCCCGGUAAGUCCGCUGUGAAAGUCGGGGGCUCAACCCUCGAAUGCCGGUGGAUACUGUCGGGCUAGAGUGCGGAAGAGGCGAGUGGAAUUCCUGGUGUAGCGGUGAAAUGCGCAGAUAUCAGGAGGAACACCAAUUGCGAAGGCAGCUCGCUGGGACGUAACUGACGCUGAGACGCGGAAGCGUGGGGAGCGAACAGG